GCCCGAUUGGUCUAAUGGUAUGAUUUCAGAUUCUCAGUCUGAAGAAGAAGGGUUCGAUCCCCUCAUCGGGUA
rnacentral:tRNA from 1 species